UACAGAGGGUGCAAGCGUUGUUCGGAAUUAUUGGGCGUAAAGGGAGUGUAGGCGGUGAGUUAAGUCUUCUGUGAAAUCUACGGGCUUAGCCUGUAAAGUGCAGAGGAAACUGGCUGACUUGAGUGUCGGAGAGGAUAGGGGAAUACCCGGUGUAGAGGUGAAAUUCGUAGAGAUCGGGUGGAACACCAGUGGCGAAGGCGCCUGUCUGGCUGACAACUGACGCUGAGACUCGAAAGCAUGGGGAGCAAACAGG
rnacentral:rRNA from 1 species